GACGAACGCUGGCGGCGUGCUUAACACAUGCAAGUCGAACGCUGAAGCUUGGUGCUUGCACUGGGUGGAUGAGUGGCGAACGGGUGAGUAAUACGUGAGUAACCUGCCCUUGACUCUGGGAUAAGCCUGGGAAACUGGGUCUAAUACUGGAUACGACAUGUCACCGCAUGGUGGUGUGUGGAAAGGGUUUUACUGGUUUUGGAUGGGCUCACGGCCUAUCAGCUUGUUGGUGGGGUAAUGGCUCACCAAGGCGACGACGGGUAGCCGGCCUGAGAGGGUGACCGGCCACACUGGGACUGAGACACGGCCCAGACUCCUACGGGAGGCAGCAGUGGGGAAUAUUGCACAAUGGGCGGAAGCCUGAUGCAGCGACGCCGCGUGAGGGAUGACGGCCUUCGGGUUGUGAACCUCUUUCAGCACGGAAGAAGCGAAAGUGACGGUACGUGCAGAAGAAGCGCCGGCUAACUACGUG
rnacentral:rRNA from 1 species